CCCGGACUCUGCCUGCGCAAAGAAGGCCUAUACAAAGAAAGAAGUGAAAACUUGAAGAAGUGAUUAGAGUUGGAAGUUUAAUACCAUUUUAAUGAAGGGAAAAGUUACUGGACAACAAAAGAAGAGUUUUAGGGACCAUAAAUUAUGUGGCUUUUUAGGUUUCCUGGCUCCUUUGGGGCUUAUUGUUUGGAAGAGUCAGUGCAAGUUUGUCAAUAGUAGCCCUGAGUCUACCUAAACUAUUUCGUGGCCAGAAACUGACAGUGAAACAUUUCAACAGAAACCAAGCCCUCCAAAGUGAACUUUCUAAAUGGUGUGCUGAAUCUGAGAAUUUCAACCUUAUUUUUCUGUUGGGUAAAAAUCAUUCUCUUUUAUUGUCCUGUACUCACUUUUAUUU